GACCUCGGAUCGGGUAGGGAUACCCGCUGAACUUAAGCAUAU
rnacentral:rRNA from 1 species